GGCCGGGCGGGGGGAAGGCUUUGGCCGGUGCACACGGCGGUGGCUGUCACCUGCGUGGGGGCUGCAGAUCCCACCAAAGCUAGACCUUCCCUCCCCUAGCUGCUGGACAGCCCCGGCUGGUUGGUGAGCAUCUGCUACCCCUCAGUAGGUUGGGCAGAGUGGAGAGUUGAGUCGUGCAGGCUUGCUGGGGGCGAGUGCUCUGGGCAGAGUAGAGUCCAAAACGCAGAGAAGAAGCUUUAGAGUGAGUCAACAUGCUCUUACAUCAGCGGACAGCUCAUCUGAUCCCUGACUCUUUGCAAGAUGCAGGCUGGGAUUUUCAGGAAAGCUCAGCUCCCAUUUAGCUCCCUGAAGGCUGUGCACAUGGAGCUGCGCAGGCAGCUGCACGCUCUCUCCACCAGAAGGCCAAACUGGUGAGAUUUGAGCCAGCUUUGGUCCAGACGCCUUGUAGCUAUGUUAGCACAAUACUGUGCCCAAUUCGCUCAGCUUUAGCAUCGCUUUUUUCCUUGGUAACUAAAUGGCAGCUGAACUCUUCUAACCAUCUGACCCAGUCCCCAUUUAAAAUAGCAGGUAAUGGAGGGGGCGUUUGUUCAGCAUGCUGAGCUCCAGCUCUGGGAAUGGUCCAAGCUGCAGCUGGAGCGCUUUCUUUCAUUGUUUUGGUGAAGUAUUUUAAUGUAAUGUCUAAUGCUUUAAAAGCAAAUAAAUUGUCUUCGUUACAAGAUGCAGUCCUCCUCCCGGUCAUCUUCACGCUUGUUCAUGUACUGUAUGGCUCAGAAAUCCACCCGUGUCCCAGAACAAUGUUAAACGUCUAAGGCCUGGUGCUGAGAUAGACAGGAUACCUGCAAGUCGUGCUGAUGUCAGCGGGGCCUGGGCUUUAAAUCUCCCCCCCUCAGGACCUUAAACAGCUCAGUCUUCUGCAGCUGUAUUGAUGAGAACAUUGAAAUCAGUGUCAUAGGAUGACACUGCAAUCCUGCCAAUUUAAGAUGGAUUGUUUUUUGUUGGCUUGGGUCUUUUGGUGUAGAUUGUGGAGCAAACUUAAUAUAAGGAACAGUUUUUACUAUUUAUUUUAAAUAUAAGUAAGCUUACUUUUCCUUUCAACCAUUUCUUCCUCCAGGCUCUCAUUUGAUUUCCUUAUAAAGUCAGCAAAAAUAGGUGUUGUGUAUGUUUUUCCCUUUUUAAGGUUUUAGGUGCAAAUGUCUAAGCGCAUGCUUUUUCAGAUCCUCUCUGCUUCUCUUGUAUGUUUUGAGUACUAAAACCAAACCUGUCUCACUUCAAACCCAAUUGACGGUUUUGCCUGACCACCAGAUAUUUAUUCAUGGCACUAACUGGAUACUUUCAUAAUAGUCUCAGAGGCUGGAGAAAAGAGAGGCCAGACUGGGCCUUCGAGCUUUGGCAACUGAACUCUGAGCUAUGGAGUUUGGAGGAAGUUUGGGACAAAUUAGUCGGACAAAGAGCAAAAGCACAUGUUAACUGCUGCCCAUUCUGCACAGUGUCCUCUGCAUGAGAGCUUGUUCUGUCAGUCCAGUACUAGCAUUACUACCAUGUUCACACACAAUAAAUACAAACAGAUAUAUUGUGCUUUAGUCCUCCUAUCUGUAGUUCAGCAAGAUUGAACAAGGUUAGUACUUGGAUAGGAGACCUUCCAGGAAAGUUUAGUUGCUGUAGAAAAGAGUGGUGUUCACUUACUGAGUGAUAUUUUUCGAGUACUGAAGUCAGUAUUAAGAUGACAAUGUCUCCUGGUUCUGGGGAUGAUGAGCUGUAGAAAUUCCAGCUUUGAAUAGGGUAUGAAAGCAAAUUCUUGAGCGUUUUUGGUCAUGAUGGGGCUUUUGGCAUUUUACCACAGAGUAGGAGAGUAUCCUGGCCAAAUUCCAACCUGGGUAAUUACAUUCUGUUGACUGAAAUGGAGCAGCGGUUAUUGCUGCAUUUCACUGCUGGGCAAAAUGAUCUUCACACAUGGGCUUAAAUUUGUGAAGCGACUUAGGACAAAGCAGAAUGAAUGGGACUUACAGAAAUGUCACUUUAACCUUCACAACUCCCCCCUGAAGGCCCUGUGAGGCUAGUCAGUUUGCUGUUGCAUUCCUUUAAAUGCCAGUGAUCCAACUGCUGGGGCAUUGCUUGGAGUGGCUGUGGCAACAUUGCCCAGUCUGGGGCUGUGAACCAUUGCAGUUCAUAAGACAUCGCAGGAUGUCUUCAGAACAGGUGCACUUUCUUAUAACACACAUACACAUUCCCAUACAUUCAGCAAGGAAACAAACAGAAUGGGAGAAAAAGAAAUAAAAGACCAUUCGAAAUUUUCUUUGUUCAUAAAUUGAAUACUGUGACUGUGCCGUUCAGGCUGAUCCGUGGUUGGUGUUUAGUUUUCAAAAAGGCAGAGUGAUCUUUUGAUUGGAAAAAAGGUAGAAAAACUCUGAUGUAAGAUAUAGAAGGCUACAUGGAAAUGUAUUUCCUAUUAUGUAUGUACCCCGAUGUUUAACAAUUUUUUCUCUCCCUGACCUUCCCUACUUUAUUUUGUACUCAGAUUUUCUUACUUCUGUCAGAAAUCUGCCUUAUAACUUCACAAGUUUUCAGGAGAAGAUCACUGUGUUUCACUGGGAUAGGAAUAUUGCAUCUGCUUCAUAGCAGGAAGAUGUUAUACGUAUUACAGCUUAAUUCUGUUCUACUUUAAACCUAGAUAAAGAAUGAAGACUGUCUGUACCAUUUUGAUUACCUCUUCUAGGGUUCAAAGAGAGAAUCAGUUUCCCUGACCUUCAUUUGCUAAUGGCUCAGCUUGAUCUAACCAGUAUACAGAUAAAUGUGCUGUUAAGCAAAAAUUCUAGUAGGAAGAACCGUCUCAAUGUCUAAAAUUCCUUUGCCCCUGCUGGUAUCAGUGGCUCUUAGUAAGCAGCUAAAAUCUGAACUACGCAAAGUAACGAGAGCUAUUCACGAGAAGCUUGCACACAAACGGACAAUUCUGCCAUCCUCUUAAAAGAGAUGAGAUGAAGGACCCUUCACAAUGACAGCUCUGCAAGCUCCAAAUACGAGAAGCUCGUGCGCAUGGAGUUUUACGCUUUAUCUCCAGAAUGACCUUCGUUCCUGUUAGGCUAAUUUCACCUGUUGUCACAAGUUUCGCUUUUGGGAUUUAGACCAUCAUUAGCCACGGAAGUCUCACACAAAUCACUUUUCUCUCUCUCUUUUUUUCCCCCCUAUUUUACACAAGACUGUUAAUAGAACUAUUAGUGGAAUAAGCAAAGCCAAUAUUCACAGGGUUUAACAGUGUACCUAUAGCACCUUUUGUCCCAAAAUGCCUUACAAAUGCCAUACAGCACGCACGUCCCAGCGUGCAACUUGUCAUGACAUUUCCUUUCACUUAGGCACCACCUUAGCUUCCCAAAUUGACUGUUAGGGACAUUUCAGCAAAUAGCACCUCAUACAGUGAGUCAGACACCGUCCAAAGGUGCCUUUCAGAGCUGAGAGCUUUCUCCGUGAAUGCGUUCAGAGCUAAGGAGACCAUGCGCGCCGCGUGCGUGUUGAUGCCGUACACCUAACGGGAGCACCGUGACCUAACGGAGGGAAUGGCAGAAGGAGGGCACGCUGGCGCUCCUCCUGUCCGGCUGUGGGUGCGACGCGUAGGUGUUUACUGCGAUGAGCACCGCAAAACGUGGCUCGUGGCUGCGGAAGAGGCAAGUGUCCUUCGAGCUUCCCAGUGAUUGUAGCUUUGAUAACGCAGCUGCCUCUGCUGCCUUGCCGGUAACUGCCUGCUCUUUCUGUUACUCUCCCCCAGGAGGAAGGUAUGCUGAGGGCCCGGAUCCAAAGAGUUCAGGUUCCCCUGGGUGAGGCGCUGCGACCCAGCCAGCUCCCCCCAUCCCGGCUGCCUCAUAUGUGGCAGCUGUCCCAGGCUUGGUGGUGUUGAAGAACUGCUGCUUAAACUCGUGCCUGGUGAUUAAUCUGGAGCAGUGGCUCUAGGAAGAUGUCCUUGUAUGUUUUGUACAAUAAAUGAUUCUCUCUCCACUGAAAUGCAGCCACCUCUGAGGUGGAAGCAGUUAAACAACACACAGCAACAUCACACAAGAGUUUAGGACAGGCAGUGAAGAAGAGUAUCGUGUCCAAUUGAAACGUCAGGGGGAGUUCUAGCGAACAACUACGUGGAGUCUAAGUGCGAAGCCGUGCUUCAGGAGAUGCGGAAGUGCUGUGCCCGGUACCCCAAGGGCAGAUCCAUCUGCUGUUCAGGGUUUGAGAAAGAAGAAAGAGAGAGAGAAAAGUUUAAGGCUGC